rnacentral:rRNA from 1 species
GAGUUUGAUCAUGGCUCAGGAUGAACGCUGGCGGCGUGCCUAAUACAUGCAAGUCGAGCGAACGGACGAGAAGCUUGCUUCUCUGAUGUUAGCGGCGGACGGGUGAGUAACACGUGGAUAACCUACCUAUAAGACUGGGAUAACUUCGGGAAACCGGAGCUAAUACCGGAUAAUAUUUUGAACCGCAUGGUUCAAAAGUGAAAGACGGUCUUGCUGUCACUUAUAGAUGGAUCCGCGCUGCAUUAGCUAGUUGGUAAGGUAACGGCUUACCAAGGCAACGAUGCAUAGCCGACCUGAGAGGGUGAUCGGCCACACUGGAACUGAGACACGGUCCAGACUCCUACGGGAGGCAGCAGUAGGGAAUCUUCCGCAAUGGGCGAAAGCCUGACGGAGCAACGCCGCGUGAGUGAUGAAGGUCUUCGGAUCGUAAAACUCUGUUAUUAGGGAAGAACAUAUGUGUAAGUAACUGUGCACAUCUUGACGGUACCUAAUCAGAAAGCCACGGCUAACUACG